UACGGGAGGCAGCAGUGAGGAAUAUUGGUCAAUGGCCGGAAGGCUGAACCAGCCAAGUCGCGUGCGGGAAGUAGGCCCUACGGGUCGUGAACCGCUUUAGCCGGGGAGUAAAGAGGCGCACGUGUGCGCCGUUGAGAGUACCCGGAGAAUAAGCAUCGGCUAACUACGUGCCAGCAGCCGCGGUAAU
rnacentral:rRNA from 1 species